UUAGUGAUGAAACGUCAUUCGGUUUUAAAUAUAUCUAGUUUUUAAAGAAAUAAAUUUAAUUUAUAAUUAUUAAUUUUAAUUUAUUAAAUUUUAAAUAAAUUAAAUUAUUAAUUUAAUAUUUUUAGGGAUUAGCUUAAAAGUAAAAUUUUAAAAAUUUAUAUAAAUAUAAAAUAUUUAUAGGAAUAGAAAUUUUUAUUUUAUAAUUUGUUAUAAUUAAUAUUUUUUGAAAAAAGAUUUAUAUUAAAAUUUUAAUUUUUUUAUUUAAAUAAUUUAUAAAAUAUAUAAAUAAAUUUAAUAAUGAUAAUAUUAGUAUAAUAAGGUGUAAAUUAUAAUAUUUAUUUAAGGUUAAUUUAAGGAAUUCGGCAAAUAUUAUUUUCGCCUGUUUAUUAAAAACAUGUCUUUUAGAUUAUAAUUUAAAGUCUAACCUGCCCACUGAAUUUUAAAUGGCCGCAGUAUUUUGACUGUGCAAAGGUAGCAUAAUAAUUAGUUUUUUAAUUGAAAGCUGGUAUGAAUGGUUGAACGAGAAAUAGUCUGUCUCAAAUUAAAUUAAUUAGAAUUUUAUAUUUAAGUUAAAAAGCUUAAAUGUUAUUUAAAGACGAGAAGACCCUAUAGAGUUUUAUAAAUUAUUUAAAUUUUAAUUUUUUAGGAUGUUUUAAUUAAAAUAUAAAAAUUUAUUUUAUUGGGGUGAUAGAAAAAUUUAAUAAACUUUUUUUUAGAAAAAAACAUAAAUUUAUGAAUUUUUGAUCCAUUUUUUUUUUGAUUAUAAGAUUAAAUUACCUUAGGGAUAACAGCGUAAUUUCAUUAGAGAGUUCAUAUCGAAAAUGAAGGUUGCGACCUCGAUGUUGGAUUAAAAUAAAUUUUUGGUGUAGUAGCUAAAAUAUUAAGUCUGUUCGACUUUUAAAAUUUUACAUGAUCUGAGUUUAAACCGGUGUAAGCCAGGUUGGUUUCUAUCUUAAAUUAAUUAAGAAUAAUUUAGUACGAAAGGACCAAUUAUUUAUAAAAUUUAUUAUACAUAUAGAUAUAUAUGAAUAAAAUU
rnacentral:rRNA from 1 species